GGAUCGGGAGGCAGCCAUUGGGACGGCAGCCAUGAAUUGAUCCGAACCCGCUGUCUCGUAUGGGCAAGGCGCCGUAGCCCGACGCCGCUCUUG
rnacentral:ncRNA from 1 species